CAGUAGCCACGGGAAUACGAAGGGGGCUAGCGUUGUUCGGAAUCACUGGGCGUAAAGGGUGCGUAGGCGGAUUCUUAAGUCAGGGGUGAAAUCCCGAGGCUCAACCUCGGAACUGCCUUUGAUACUGGGGAUCUUGAGUCCGGAAGAGGUGAGUGGAACUGCGAGUGUAGAGGUGAAAUUCGUAGAGAUCGGAAGGAACAUCUGUGGCGAAGGCGACUAUCUGGGCCAACACUGACACUGAGGCACGAAAGCGUGGGGAGCAAACAGGAUUAGAUACCCCUGUAGUCCCUGUCUCUUAUAC
rnacentral:rRNA from 1 species